rnacentral:rRNA from 1 species
CAGGGAGGUAGUGACAAGAAAUAACAAUACAGGGCGAAUGUCUUGUAAUUGGAAUGAUGGUGACCCAAACCCUCACCAGAGUAGCAAUUGGAGGGCAAGUCUGGUGCCAGCAGCCGCGGUAAUUCCAGCUCCAAUAGCGUAUAUUAAACUUGUUGCAGUUAAAAAGCUCGUAGUUGUAUUUUUGCGUUGACGGUUUGACCAUUUGGUUGGUUAUUUCGUUUUCGCUUUUGGGAAUUUCCCUUUUUACUUUGAGAAAAUUAGAGUGUUUCAAGCAGACUUUUGUCUUGAAUACUUCAGCAUGGAAUAAUAGAGUAGGACUUUGGUUCUAUUUUGUUGGUUAUUGAACCUUAGUAAUGGUUAAUAGGAACGGUUGGGGGCAUUCGUAUUUAACUGUCAGAGGUGAAAUUC